CCCAAAAUUAAAGGGUCAGAUCUCUCAAAUCCGCCCCUCCCUCAAAAUCACUCUCUGAAGCCGUUCAUCUCCCCCAAAUCCUAUGCUUUCCGAAGGUGUAUGAAGCCGUUCUCUUUUGCGAAGCUCUUUCAUUUCAAAAUUAGCUGCUUCCUAAGUUCAGGAUGUCCAGUUGAUGAUAACAGAGCUUGAAAAUGUAAGUCCUCUGGGAGGAAUUAUGGCUCAGCACAUUUCAAGAUCUUCAUGCAGGUAGCUGUUACUUUUUCAUAUAUAGUAUGCAGGAAUAAAGGCACAAUUCGAUGAAAUACUUGCUUCGGGGGGAUUCCCCCUUGUCCCGGUGAUGUAGUACGCCUUCUUCGACCUCCACAGUCUCUACCUAUUUCACAUAGAGUAUAUGUUCAAUACAGAGAUGUGACUAAGGAUCCCAGCAGUGAUGAAGAUGAUGAGGAUUACUAUGUGGGUAAUAAACUGCUGCGUUGUUAAAGUUGAAUGUUGUCUAGAUAAUCCAAACUAUAUACUUUAUGGUGGUUUAUUUGAAUUCUUAAGUGUUUUUGAAUGCAUUAAAAUUUUAAAGUAGUAUGAACAA